ACCUGAAUUACCGGGUAAUACUCUAUUGGCAGUAGAGGCCACCUAGAUUGCUGAUAUCUAGAACAAGAUAUAGGUAGUUAUUUGCUCACUGCCAAGGGAGAUUUGCCCUGCAAUUCAGGG
rnacentral:pre_miRNA from 1 species